UGUUAGUAUAUCCAGGUUAGUCGAGCUGAUUGUGAGAAAUUAUUUGUUAAAAAUAGGAAUGGCGAAAUAAACAAAAUUUUCCAUUAAAUUUUUGGGUUGCAGUGUAUAUUUGUAUGGUGACCAAACCACUGUGAUUGUAAGCAGCUGCUGUGUACUGAUGUUUCAAUAAAGAAUAUAAUUGUAUAUGUUACCACAAAAACUCUGUAAAUAAUUGUUUAUAAUAAAGAUUUUUUAAAAAUUUAGUUAACUUAUUUAAAUCUAUUUACCCAUCCUUAUAUUCUGUAUUCUAUUAAAAAUGAUAUUAUCCUGAAAGGGGUUUAUAAACUAUUUUGUUAACACAGAUGAUGUGUAAAAAUACAUAUAUUAUCUAUAUACAAUAUUUCAUAAUAUUAUCGGUGCAGCAAUCAAGAUAUACAUAUAUUAUACAUCUAAUUAACAUUGGAACAGAGAUGAAAAUGUGCAGAAUAUCAGUUAAUCUAAAUAAACUUUUAUUUUGUAAGAAAAAUGGAACUUAUAGUGAACUGUUUUUAUUUCAUAACACAUCACUAUAAGUAUAUUGUACUUUUAGUUAAUAAAGAAUUGGAUUCAAUAAAAAUUGUAUAUUUACAAAUUACAUGUCAAAAGAAUGUGAUAAACUAGCCAAAAUGGAUAAUUGCUCCUGCCUUUCACGGCUAAAAAGGAAACAAUGUAAAGAAAACUAAGUUUAAAAAUUACAUAAUCCAUUCAUGUAAUAAAUUUUUCCAGUUUGAUCAGUUCUUAGGGCAUUCAUUUCAUAUUCUGUACAAAAAUAUAUUAUUAUACAAAUAUAAAAGAAAUGUACACAAAAAGAAUGCAAUUCAACAUCAUUAUAU